AACCUAGCACACCUGCGGUGUGUACCUGCGGAAGGAUCAUUACAGAGUUCGUGCCCUCGCGGGUAGAUCUCCCACCCUUGUGUAUUCCUUACAUUUUGUUGCUUUGGCAGGCCGUUGGUUCGCCAACCACCGGCUCUACGGGCUGGUGCGUGCCUGCCAGAGGACCCCCCAAACUCGGUUUGUUAGUGUCGUCUGAGUAAUCAUAACAAUCGUUAAAACUUUUAACAACGGAUCUCAGAU
rnacentral:misc_RNA from 1 species